CCCUCGUUGGUCUCGGGGUGAGUCCCCCCGCCUGUCACGCGGGAGACCGGGGUUCGAUUCCCCGACGGGGAG
rnacentral:tRNA from 1 species